UGGGGAAUCUUGGACAAUGGGCGCAAGCCUGAUCCAGCCAUGCCGCGUGAGUGACGAAGGCCUUAGGGUUGUAAAGCUCUUUUGGCGGGGAAGAUAAUGACGGUACCCGCAGAAUAAGCUCCGGCUAACUUCGUGCCAGCAGCCGCGGUAAUACGAAGGGAGCUAGCGUUGUUCGGAAUCACUGGGCGUAAAGCGCACGUAGGUGGGCAGUUAAGUCAGGGGUGAAAGCCCGAGGCUCAACCUCGGAAUUGCCUCUGAUACUGGCUGUCUAGAGUUCGAGAGAGGUGAGUGGAAUUCCUAGUGUAGAGGUGAAAUUCGUAGAUAUUAGGAAGAACACCGGUGGCGAAGGCGGCUCACUGGCUCGAUACUGACACUGAGGUGCGAAAGCGUGGGGAGCAAACAGGAUUAGAUACCCCCGUAGUCCCUGAGCGGGCUGGCAAGGCGCAU
rnacentral:rRNA from 1 species